UACGUAGGGUGCGAGCGUUAAUCGGAAUUACUGGGCGUAAAGCGUGCGCAGGCGGUUUUGUAAGCCAGAUGUGAAAUCCCCGGGCUCAACCUGGGAACUGCAUUUGGGACUGCAAGGCUGGAGUACGGCAGAGGGAGGUGGAAUUCCACGUGUAGCAGUGAAAUGCGUAGAGAUGUGGAGGAACACCGAUGGCGAAGGCAGCCCCCCUGGGUCAAGACUGACGCUCAUGCACGAAAGCGUGGGGAGCAAACAGG
rnacentral:rRNA from 1 species